GUCAGAGGAGACUGUGUAGAAGGACAGAGAGCCAGCAGGACAGUCCACAUACACUGCUACUCUCUCAGAGAGAGGGGAGGAGGAGAGGACUGUUUCUCUGUUAUUGUGCCAGACAGAGUAACCAUCAUCAGAGCAGAACAGACUCCAGGACUGAUCAUUCCCUCCUAAC